rnacentral:RNase_P_RNA from 2 species
GGAAGGAAGCUCACUGUAGAGGCCACUAGCUUGGGUGUCUAUCACCCUACUUCCGCCUCUGGGAAGGUCUGAGGGAAGGGCCAAAUUGCCGCCCUAGCAGGGUGCCACCUUCUGAAGGUGGGGUGAGUUCCCACCAAUGUGGGUCUCCGAUGAAGCCCUAGAAUUGAGGCAGGAGAAGUGGAGAGGGGUCGUAGGCUCCUCCCCGCGGAUGCCUCUGUGGCUCCGUUCGGGAUUUGGGAAUGACUCACGGCUGGCAGCUUUGAGUACAAUGGGAAGAGGUGAAGCCCGCCAGCUUCAUAACCCAAUUCAGACCACUCUCCGGAAUUCC